CCUACGGGUGGCAGCAGUGAGGAAUAUUGGUCAAUGGCCGAGAGGCUGAACCAGCCAAGUCGCGUGAGGGAAGACUGUCCUAUGGAUGGUAAACCUCUUUUUUCAGGGAGCAAAGUCACCCACUUGUAGGUGUUGGAGAUUACCGGACGAAAAAGAUUCGGCUAACUCCGUGCCAGCACCCGCGGUAAUACGGAGGAGGCGAGCGUUAUCCGGAUUUAGUGGGUUUAAAGGGUGAGUAGGCGGGUUAUCAAGUCAGCGGGAAGAUCGUGGGGCUAAACUCCAUACAGCCGUUGAUACUGAUGGUCUAGAGUGGGCGAGAGGUAGGCGGAAUGCGAGGUGUAGCAGUGAAAUGCAUAGAUAUCACGCAGAACUCCGAUUGCGAAGGCAGCAUACCGGCGCGCGACUGACGCUGAUGCACGAAAGCGUGGGGAUCGAACAGGAUUAGAUACCCCGGUAGUC
rnacentral:rRNA from 1 species